GGUAACUUUAGUUUAUAUAAGACACUUCACUUACACUGAAAUCAAACUAAAAAUGAAAAUUAUUA
rnacentral:tRNA from 1 species